GCUGAGGACUGUUCAAGAAACGGCUUGUAAUUCAGCUCGCGCCCGCGAAUUUAAAGUCGCAGCUGAAGCUUUGUCUUCAGCACAGCCGGACUUCUGGCAUAAAGAUCUAGAGCAUGACGUGUGAAAAAAUUUUCGCAGCCGUUCUCAUUUCCAUUAUUUUCACAGAUCUGAAGUCACAAGUACGCUAUUCCUCGCCAACAUACCGCAUUCCCUGGGAUAUCAUGCAGUUUGUUUCACGAAUGCAACCAAUAUGGACCUACAACACUACGGAACGCACAGGCAAAACCUGCAAGGUGGAUGUUGUGCGAUAUAUCGGCACAGCGUUUAUGGAAUUCAAUAGAUCAUUCGACUACCAUGGACAUAGGGAAAAUAUUGCAAUGCAGGGACGAUUUGAUUUAACUAACAGGGCUUUGGUGAGGGUCGGCCGUGUAGGCACGACAUGACCGCCGUCAUCAGCCGGCGCCCAUAUUUUUUACCGGUUCUCUCACAUGGUUAUGGAUACCGCCUCAAGCGCAAGAAAAAACACACACACGACACAAGAGAGGACGUCGUUCGUUGCAUGCAACCGACUUCUAAGGAAAGAAUUAUAUACAUGAGCAGAGACUGCACCUGCGCACUGAUUUUGGUCACGUCAUUCGUUAUGAGAAGACAAUAUUUCGACCUCCGAGUGAUGAAUUCCUCCGUUGAAGCUGGACCUCACGUGGACUGCAGAAGGGAGUUCUGUCGGCUGAGAAAGCGUGGAACAGUUCUUUAUAAGCCAGUUUGUCAGAGAAGACUUAGACCCUAUAAUUGAAUUACCUUUACGAAUAUUUGAGUGCAGCGUUGAAAACCAAGCCUUCAAUGUGCGAGCAUGCUAACUGUUCUUGGCACUGAUACGUUUAAAUAAAAAAAAGAACCGAA